rnacentral:rRNA from 1 species
UACGUAGGGGGCGAGCGUUGUCCGGAUUUAUUGGGCGUAAAGAGCGUGUAGGCGGCCAGGUAGGUCUGCUGUGAAAACUCGAGGCUCAACCUCGAGACGUCGGCGGAAACCAUCUGGCUAGAGUCCGGAAGAGGAGAGUGGAAUUCCUGGUGUAGCGGUGAAAUGCGCAGAUAUCAGGAGGAACACCAAUAGCGAAGGCAGCUCGCUGGGACGGUAUUGACGCUAAGGCGCGAAAGCGUGGGGAGCAAACAGG